AACGACCUGUGGUACGGCCCGGACCGCGUCAAGUACCUGGGCCCCUUCUCCGCGCAGACUCCCUCCUACCUCACCGGCGAGUUCCCCGGCGACUACGGCUGGGACACGGCGGGGCUCUCCGCCGACCCGGAGGCGUUCGCCCGCAACAGGGCGCUGGAGGUGAUCCACGGGCGGUGGGCGAUGCUGGGCGCGCUGGGCUGCAUCACGCCCGAGGUGCUCGAGAAGUGGGUGCGCGUGGACUUCAAGGAGCCCGUGUGGUUCAAGGCCGGCGCGCAGAUCUUCUCCGAGGGCGGGCUGGACUACCUGGGCAACCCCAACCUGGUGCACGCGCAGAGCAUCCUCGCCGUGCUGGGCUUCCAGGUCAUCCUCAUGGGCCUCGUCGAGGGCUUCCGCAUCAACGGCCUCGACGGCGUCGGCGAGGGCAACAACCUCUACCCGGGCGGCCAGUACUUCGACCCGCUCGGCCUCGCCGACGACCCCGUCACCUUCGCCGAGCUCAAGGUCAAGGAGAUCAAGAACGGACGCCUCGCCAUGUUCUCCAUGUUCGGAUUCUUCGUGCAGGCCAUCGUCACCGGCAAGGGGCCCCUCGAGAACCUGCUCGACCACCUCGACGACCCCGUCGCAAACAACGCCUGGGUCUACGCCACCAAGUUCGCGCCCGGGUCUUAAGAAGCUAGACGGCUGCUUCGUGCCUGCCACCAUUGUAGACUACUCGUUACUUUUGUACCACCAAUUAAUGCAAAUAC
rnacentral:lncRNA from 1 species